AGUCUCAAUUUCAAUCCAUUUUCCAGCCCAGAUACAAGCCGCAUCCAAAAGUUUGCUUUCUUUUCAGUUACCCCUUUACCAUAAAACUCAUCAAAACCAAGUGGUAAAAACUCAACCUUCUCUGGGUCGACAUCCUCCCCUUCUUUCAAGGGUGGCUGCCAAAACAAACGAAUCCCAUACUCCUCAUCCUCUACAUAGUUUAUUAAUCGUCCUG
rnacentral:misc_RNA from 1 species